UAGGGAAUUUCGUCAAUGGGCGCAAGCCUGAACGAUCAAUGCCGCGUGAACGAGGAAGGUCUUCGGAUCGUAAAGUUCUGUUGAAGGGGAAAAAGAGCGGAGAGAGGAAAUGGUCUCCGAUUGAUAUUACCCUUCGAGGAAGUCACGGCUAACUACGUGCC
rnacentral:rRNA from 1 species